UCCCUCCGUCCCCUCUCUCUUUCCCUCCCUCCCUCCUCUCUCUCUUUCCCUCCCUCCCUCUCUCCCUGCCCCCUUUCGCCUUGCUGAGAAUGAGCUCCCCGGGCUCGUGUGCCCGCCUGGGAAUCGGCUGCAGAGGCCGUGGCCCCGGGUCCAUCACAUGUUGCCCUCAGCCUCCCUUGGCACAGUGCCCCGAGGUCGACCAGAUGUCUCUGGCGAUUUGGGCUGUUGGAUGCCGGCUCCUGUAAGGUCACUAGGUGUCGCUCUCAGAUGGGUGAUGUGUGGACGAAACGCAGUGUGAGGGAGAAAACACGUCUCACACGUGGGCAUCAACACCCGAUCUUCAGGCUUCGGAGCUACAGAUGGAAGGGUGCUUUCUGGUCGGAUGCUGACUCCUUCAAUUCACAGAUUCAGAUACAUCAUUCAAUGUUUCCCACGUAUAAUGGCAAACAUUUCUGUUUUGAGAACCAUAAGAGGUGAAGAAAAUGAAAAAGGUGAUUUCCUUUCCAAUAUAUUUAAUUUUUACCUUGUUUUAGUAU